AUUGAACGCUGGCGGCAGGCUUAACACAUGCAAGUCGAGCGGGGUGAUGGUGCUUGCACUAUCACUUAGCGGCGGACGGGUGAGUAUGCUUAGGAAUCUGCCUAUUAGUGGGGGACAACAUCUCGGAAGGGAUGCUAAUACCGCAUACGUCCUACGGGAGAAAGCAGGGGAUCACUUGUGACCUUGCGCUAAUUGAUGAGCCUAAGUCGGAUUAGCUAGUUGGUGGGGUAAAGGCCUACCAAGGCGACGAUCUGUAGCGGGUCUGAGAGGAUGAUCCGCCACACUGGGACUGGGACACGGCCCAGAAUCCUACGGGAGGGAGCAGUGGGGAAUAUUGGACAAUGGGGGGAACCCUGAUCCAGCCAUGCCGCGUGUGUGAAGAAGGCCUUAUGGUUGUAAAGCACUUUAAGCGAGGAGGAGGCUCUUUUGGUUAAUACCCAAGAUGAGUGGACGUUACUCGCAGAAUAAGCACCGGCUAACUCUGUGCCAGCCGCCGCAGUAA
rnacentral:rRNA from 1 species